rnacentral:rRNA from 1 species
UACGUAGGGGGCAAGCGUUGUCCGGAAUCAUUGGGCGUAAAGCGCGUGUAGGCGGCUCGGUAAGUCCGCUGUGAAAGUCGGGGGGCUCAACCCUCGAAUGCCGGUGGAUACUGUCGGGCUAGAGUGCGGAAGAGGCGAGUGGAAUUCCUGGUGUAGCGGUGAAAUGCGCAGAUAUCAGGAGGAACACCAAUUGCGAAGGCAGCUCGCUGGGACGUGACUGACGCUGAGACGCGAAAGCGUGGGGAGCAAACAGG